UACGUAGGGUGCAAGCGUUGUCCGGAAUUAUUGGGCGUAAAGAGCUCGUAGGCGGUUUGUCGCGUCUGCCGUGAAAGUCCGGGGCUCAACUCCGGAUCUGCGGUGGGUACGGGCAGACUAGAGUGCAGUAGGGGGAGACUGGAAUUCCUGGUGUAGCGGUGAAAUGCGCAGAUAUCAGGAGGAACACCGGUGGCGAAGGCGGUUCUCUGGCAAUGUUCUGACGCUGAGGAGCGAAAGUGUGGGGAGCGAACAGG
rnacentral:rRNA from 1 species